AUCAGGGCCGUAACUACAUUGAGGCAAAUGAGGCAAAUGCCUCAUGUUUGAAAUUUCCAAAAAAAAAAAAAAAAAAAAAACUGAAACAAAAAGAUUGUCAAAUUGUUUUGACGGAAAGUGUCUUGCAAGAAGCCAGUUCUCUUCACUCUCUGGUGUAGCCCCUUCAUGUUUUUCGUGAUCCAUGUUUCUAUUUUACUUUUAGUUAUCAGAGUUGAUGGUCUAUUGUUUGUACUUCUAUGUCCCGGGUUUGUCUUUUGUUAAUUUAUUGUCCUACUUAAUGACUAUAGUCUGAGUGUUGAUUUUCAUUUGUAAACGUGUGGUUUUGCAAUGUUGCAUGCCAACCGAUGUCCAGACAAUGUGCGAGAAAAUAUUUUAAGAAUAUACGAUGCUACAAGACACAGAAAUGAAUCGUCGUUUCUGCAUGGAGAAUUGAACUUGAUAUCAAAGAGAACAAAACUGGCUUUUUUCGUAGAUAAAACUAGAAAGCUGACAUGGUUUAAAUUGAAAUAUGGUCACCAAUUCCACGGUAUCAAAAAAAUUGAAAAAAAAA
rnacentral:lncRNA from 1 species